UGGGGAAUUUUCCGCAAUGGGCGAAAGCCUGACGGAGCAAUGCCGCGUGGAGGUGGAAGGCCUACGGGUCGUCAACUUCUUUUCUCGGAGAAGAAACAAUGACGGUAUCUGAGGAAUAAGCACCGGCUAACUCUGUACACG
rnacentral:rRNA from 1 species